rnacentral:lncRNA from 10 species
CGCCUGGCCUGACUGUUCUCUCUUACAACAGCUGGCACUUUUACUUAGCAGCGGCACUUUUACUUAGUGGCGAUGGUCCCCAUUCGUCAUUGUAUUUUCUUGGAUGUCUGCCUCUCCUGCAAGGCUAUAAGUAUGAUGAGAGCAGCAAUGUGACGACUGAUUGCCACAGGAUCCCUGGCACCUAGCAGAGUUCCCGGCACAUGUGAGGGGUUCAGCAAAUAUUUCAAACAGUGAACAGACGAAGGCUGAGCCCCUGCUCUUGGCACAUCCACAGGAUGGGUUGGAAGGGAGCUCUGCUCAUUGCUGUCACUCAUAAGUGCCACCACCUUACGAUGUCACCAGCCCAAAAGGAGACAUCAAGUUCUGGCCAAGCAGGGGAGAAGAGCUCAGAAAAUCUCACCUAGUCUUAAAUGCUUCUGCCCAGAAAUCACACACUUCUGCUCGCAUUUCACUGGCCCUGACUACCAGGCACACACGUCCUGUCCCUCAGAGACCUGCAUUCUUGUAUCAGCAAUGCCCCUGCCUCAGUUUUUCCAUCUGUACAAUGAGAAUCCUGGCAGAGACUGUCCUUUGAAACUCUUCUACUCUGACUGAUAUUGGAGGAGCCCACCUGGCCCACAGUAACUGACAAUAAACAAGCAUGGGGCGGGGGGUGGACAUCCUCCCUAGCCACUGCCAGGUGAGCCUGAUGGUGCAGUCCUUCGAGAUACCUGCUACAGUCCCAGUUCACCACACCCCCUACCCUGCAGGAUGCUGGCACUGUUCCCUGCCCUGAGUCCAGAUCCCAGAGCAUAAACUGUUCCUGAAGGGAGACGGUCAGCCCAGGCCAUCCAGGGACACAGCCCUCCUGCCUGUCGUUCCUGCCUGGCCCACCACAAACUCCCAAACACACACCCAGUUUGUGCUUCAUGGCUUGGAGCCCAGUAAGAAGCACAUUCUGAGACAUCAAAAGGACAGAGGGUACAGUGAACACCAACUCGGUAGUCACCUCUAGGUACAAGGCUGAUUCCCUAAGCUUCUGAUCCCCUGUCUCUACCAGUGUGAGCUGACGUUCCACCCUCGGGCCCUGGAUUUACUGCAAGGGGGGUCUGAGAGUUCAGAUGCACCAUAACUGUGUGUUCCUAACACAGAUAUGGGACGAUUUUCCAAAUGUAUGUGGAGGACAUUCUAGCUAUUGCAAUAAGACAAGAAAAAAGAAAUGAUUGGAAAGGAAGAAAUAAAAUUGUCUUCAUUCCCAGAUGACAUAAUUGUCUAUGCAGAAAACAAAAAGUCUACAAAAUCUAUAUUAAAAAAACUACCAGAACUAACAACUGAGUAUAGCAGGAUUGCAGGAUACAAGAUCGACAUGCAAAAGUCAAUUGCAUUCCUAGAUACAAGAAAUGAACUGAAAUUUGAAAAUGAUAACGCCCUUUAAAAUAGCGCACACAAAAUACUUAGGCAUAAAGCAAAUGUAUAUAAAAAUUUCUGUGAUUCAAAAACUACAAUCACUUAAAAUUAUUCCUGAAUUAUAUCAACUGUAUGUUUUCUCAAUCAACAGAUACUAAAGGUAUAAAAUCUAUCAUAUCUACUACAUUUGCAUACUAUGUGAAUACGCUAGAUUAAUAUACAGACAUCCCUUGCUAUCCCAGUCUUUUCCGUUCCUAAGAAGUAAGAAUUUGGAUAGUCAGCAAAGUCCUAUUAUCCCCAUCUGUUCAGCUCCUGAGUUUUAGAUAGUAAGAAGCAAGAGUUUAAGUAGCAACAAAGUCAGCUGAGGAUUUAUCUGGAUCCAUUUGGCUCCUGAGUUUGAACAGCAAGAGCCCAGUGAGAGGCUCCUCUAUGCGGUGGCCUCAUACAUGCACGGUUUAGAUCCAUCCGAGAACAAAGGCAGAGGCAUUCUCUCUGAUGACCUGUGCAGGGGUCCCAGCAGGAGGUCUGGGGCAGAGGGAAAGGCUGCAGGGAGGCCAGUCAGCUCCAUUUGAGGGAGCAAGUUCUCCCAGCUACAGGUGAGCAGAAAAGGAAGGGGCUGGUAGGCAUCAAAGGGGCCUCUCAUUCCACAGACACUGUGUUGGGAACUGGGAACACUGUGGGGAAUGGACAGGAUUGGGUGCUCGCAAAGCUUACAUUCUGCAGGCGGGGAAGGAAAAGCCAGCCUCAGUCAAAUAAACAACCCAGAUAAUUUCAGCCCAAAACCUCUCCCUUCCUACACUAUGUCCUCCUUCCUCAAGUGUCUCUUAUGUGAUAAUUACAGCCUAAAGAACAGACAGACUUGAAUGUGUGGAUCUGUACUUCCGUGGGGAGAAAAUGGUUGGGGAAACUCAGCCUCAGACAUCAAAAGAACUUUGUCACCUAUUGUAGUUAUAAAUGCUGAA